AAUUAAAAAAAAUGAAGUGACCUCAAGAAUAUAAUUAAAUAGUUUAAUUUACACACACCUCUUAUCAACAAAGUCUAGUAGAAUCAUAUUAGAAGGUCCAUAUAUUGUCUUCUCAACUUCAAACAACUCAUCUAUAUUGAAGCUCUAUUUCAACAUCUUUUCUUCAAUUAAACAGACUUGGCAUUUAAAUACAAGUAUUUGCAGAUGAAAAUUUAGCUCCACAUUAAUAAAAUGAGUUUUCAAACAGUUGUAGAGUCUCCAAUAAAACAAGGAGUCAUAGUCUCAAGCUGGAUCACCCUAAAAAAUAACAACAGACUUUUCUAGGACAGUAUGCAAAAAGUAAUAUCUAGAGCAAUACUGAAACAAGGAAAUUACUCUUCUCGAUGAAUCUGGUAUUAUAUGGACUUGAAACAAUGUGCAUACCCUAUUUUAAAAA
rnacentral:lncRNA from 1 species